CGGGUCUUGUACACACCGCCCGUCACACCGACGAAAGUCGGUAAUGCCGAAGGACUUUUAGCCAACCGUAAGGAGGCGGAGUACCACGGCAGGAUCGAUGAUUGGGGUG
rnacentral:rRNA from 1 species